rnacentral:rRNA from 1 species
AGAGUUUGAUCCUGGCUCAGAUUGAACGCUGGCGGCAGGCCUAACACAUGCAAGUCGAACGGUAACAUUUUUAGCUUGCUAGAAGAUGACGAGUGGCGGACGGGUGAGUAAUGCUUGGGAACUUGCCUUUGCGAGGGGGAUAACAGUUGGAAACGACUGCUAAUACCGCAUAAUGUCUUCGGACCAAACGGGGCUUAGGCUCCGGCGCAAAGAGAGGCCCAAGUGAGAUUAGCUAGUUGGUAAGGUAACGGCUUACCAAGGCGACGAUCUCUAGCUGUUCUGAGAGGAAGAUCAGCCACACUGGGACUGAGACACGGCCCAGACUCCUACGGGAGGCAGCAGUGGGGAAUAUUGCACAAUGGGGGAAACCCUGAUGCAGCCAUGCCGCGUGUGUGAAGAAGGCCUUCGGGUUGUAAAGCACUUUCAGUUGUGAGGAAAAGUUAGUAGUUAAUACCUGCUAGCCGUGACGUUAACAACAGAAGAAGCACCGGCUAACUCCGUGCCAGCAGCCGCGGUAAUACGGAGGGUGCGAGCGUUAAUCGGAAUUACUGGGCGUAAAGCGCACGCA